rnacentral:tRNA from 1 species
UAAGAACAAGCUUUAAGCGUUUCAUUUACACUGAAAAGAUACUUGGUAAUUCCAAGGUUCUUAA